rnacentral:rRNA from 1 species
UACGGAGGGUCCAAGCGUUAUCCGGAAUCAUUGGGUUUAAAGGGUCCGUAGGCGGUUUUGUAAGUCAGUGGUGAAAGCCCAUCGCUCAACGGUGGAACGGCCAUUGAUACUGCAAGACUUGAAUUAUUAGGAAGUAACUAGAAUAUGUAGUGUAGCGGUGAAAUGCUUAGAGAUUACAUGGAAUACCAAUUGCGAAGGCAGGUUACUACUAAUGGAUUGACGCUGAUGGACGAAAGCGUGGG